ACGGUAUAAAAAGAACAAAUUUUAUAUACUUUUCAUAUGAGAAAAGAAAAUAAUAUGGCUAGAGUUUUCAAGUUUGCUUAUGCUAUGAGUCUAUUAUUUUUCUUAUUUUUCGUUGCUGAGAAAGUUGGUGCCGAGAAACAUAAAUGUAAUAAUGAUGGUGAUUGUCCACAACCAUGGCACAAUUUGUACAUAUACAAGUGCUUUGAUCGCAGUUGUCUAAAAGUGAAGAGUUGGCUUUAGAUGCAUUAUUAUUAAUGAUGGUUUUUAGUUAUGAUCCUAAGAUCCAAUAUAUUUUUUCUUUCCCUAAUUUUAAGAACCUUGCAUUAAUGAUUAUGUUAUAAGAUGUUAAGAGGUAGUAUAUUUCAAGAUAUGGUUCGAAUUCGACUCGAGGCUGCUGUAAAAUUUACAAGUUACCAUCAUCAUUCAUAAUAUGUUCCCCUUGUGAAAAAUGAAAUGCUAAGGAUUUAAACGCCUUAAAAUGAUUUUUUGUAAUAAUAGAGUAAUUUUUGCUAACAACAAUUCAUAAGUGGUUAGUGUCAUUAUGAUAUCCACAUUGAUAAAGCUUCAAGUAGAAAUAUGUCUUUUCCUACAUUAAACCAUGUUGUGUUUUCUCAAGCAUCACUAAGAAAAACACUCUCCUACCACGUGAAUAAGUGACGUGAAACGUAUGUGGCAAAAAAUGGGAGUUGUGACGUGCUAAUUACGUCACUAAAGAUUUUUAAUUUAAAAAUAUAUAUAAAAGUAACGUUAGUACAUGGGGAGUCAGAUUUUUCUUUUAAAAAAAAUAGGUUGUGGCGUGUAAUCCAUAUCGCAACAUAAAAGUUAAACUAAAUCAAUUCAACGAGUCAGACGUUCACAUGGGGGGAAGUUUUAAAAUUUUAAAAAUUGUGUUGUGGCGUGUAUAUCACGUCGCAACUUUUAUUUAUAAUAUUUAAAAAAUUUAGGAGAUAAACGUUUCUGAUAAUGAAGUGAUGUGGUGCAUAUUUGACUAACAGCUUUAUUGUUCCGACAUGAAAUACACUUCGCAACUUGCGAAAUGAAACCCACGUGGCAACAAUGUUACCGUUGAGAAGUUGCGACGUGAUUUUCACUUCGUUGGCUUGCGUCAUGAAAAUUACGUCGCUAUACUCUAUAUAUUUAAUGCAAAUUCCAGAUCGUGCAGUUACCCUUUUCCUCUUUCUUUCUUCCUCUUUCUUUCUUUCUUUCUUUCUUCCCCUUCUCAGCCUUUUACUCUCAUCUCUUUUUCUUCCUCUCUUCUCUGCCUCUUCAUCUCUUCUUCCUCCAACAAAGUUUCAAAGGUAAUAUUUUUCUUGCUUUAUUUUUUUUAAUAUUCGUUUAAAAUUUAAUCCCUAUUAUUUGAUUUUUAUUUUUGUUGUAGUUUAGGUUUUCAAACUUCAAGAUUCUAAGCUUCAAUGGCUAAGUUAUAGUUUUGAUCCCCCUAUUUUGUCUGAUUCACGAAAUUAGUCCCUCUAUUUUAAAUUUAAACUGUUUUGGUCCCUCUAUUUUGUCUCAGCCUUUUCCUCUCUUCUUCCUCCAACAUAAUUUCAAUUGUUCUUCCACCCACAGUUAUUUAAAGGUAAUAUUUUUCUUGUUCUAUUUUUUUUAUUUUCGUUUAAAAUUUAAUCUCUAAUAUUUAAUUUUUAUUUUUGUUGUAGUUGAGGUUUUUAUAAAGCUUCAAGAUUUCAAGUUUCAAUUAUUUAUUUUAGAGUUUAUUUGCAUGCUUCAUAGAGAAAUAAGGAAAAGGCAAGUUUUGGUCGAAGACGUUCGACGGUGUAGUAUGCUCUCGACCGAAGAAGCCCUAUGGAAACACUUAGUAAAAUAAAAAGGGUUGUGAGUUUGUGAAGGAGUCGAAGUCGAAGGCCCGAGGCUUAAGAAGAAAGACGGUUGUUGGCAGUUUUGUCGUCUGGAAUACGUGGAGUUUCCUCAAGAAAAGGGACUGCAUGGUUGGGACACGUGGCGACAUAUGAAUAGUCGACCGUUAGGGCAGUUUAUUCUAGGAUUUCUAUUUAAGCAAAUAAAUGUCAGUAGCUUAGGGGUCCGCAUUUCUACAUCACAAAAGACAAUACUCAAUCUCUUCACACACAGUGAGAAACGAGUGUAAUUUUCUGAGAAUGUAUGUAUGCGUACUAGAUUAAUUAUUAUGCAAUCAUUUUAAUA